CUGGAAAUUGCUGUUCCUUCUUUAAUCUCUGCUGCCAGCCCUCAGCCGGCGAGCCGCAGCUCACGGGAGGCCGGGCCCAGGGUGUGUUUGGUACGAAAGUCAUGUCCCUGCGACGGCCCACACACGUCCGCCGUGUGUUCCCGGUACCCAGAUCCACGCCCCCAGAUAAGCUGGGCUAAUCUUCACAGCCACCCUGCGGGGGGCCCCACGGACGGGCGGACGAGGCGGAGGAGAGGCAAGUGGACUGGAAGAGGCCGCCUGAUCGAGCCCCGGCUCUGCCUGCUGCGUGCCACGACCAGGCCCCCUGGGGCCCGGCACGGACUCUGGGGACGCAGCCCGGAUGGCGUCCAGAGCAGCAGCCAGCCUCUCCACGGGCCUGACAGAGUGAGCCGUCCUAAGGGGAACAUGCUGCAGCAAUUCCACCCCCUGAACGGACAGAAAGUGAACAGACAGACGGACAGAUGGACAGGCGUGGGCAGGGGGCGGCCUCCCACGGCCCCGGGCUGACCUUAUGGCAAAGGUCCAGCUCAGGAAAGAAAGAAAGAGAGAAAGAAAGAGAGAAAGAAAGAAAGAAAGAAAGAAAGAAAGAAAGAAAGAAAGAAAGAAAGAAAGAAAGAAAGAAAGAAAGAAAGAAAGAGAGAAAGAGAGAAAGAAAGAAAGAAAGAAAGAAAGAAAGAAAGAAAGAAAGAAAGAAAGAAAGAAAGAAAGAAAGAAAGAAAGAAAGAAAGAAAGAAAGAAAGAAAGAAAGAGGGGCUGGAGCAAUAGCAUAGGGGGGAGGGCGUUUGCCUUGCACGCGGCCAACCCGGGUUUGAUUCCCAGCAUCCCAUAUGGUCCCCUGAGCACCGCCAGGAGUAA